rnacentral:rRNA from 1 species
CGAGUGGCGGACGGGUGAGUAACGCGUGGGUAACCUGCCUCAUACAGGGGGAUAACAGUUGGAAACGGCUGCUAAUACCGCAUAAGCGGCACAGUACCGCAUGGUACCGUGUGAAAAACUCCGGUGGUAUGAGAUGGACCCGCGUCUGAUUAGCUAGUUGGUGGGGUAACGGCCUACCAAGGCGACGAUCAGUAGCCGACCUGAGAGGGUGACCGGCCACACUGGGACUGAGACACGGCCCAA